AGUGAACGCUGGCGGUAGGCCUAACACAUGCCAGUCGAACGGCAGCACAGUAAGAGCUUGCUCUUACGGGUGGCGAGUGGCGGACGGGUGGGGAAUACAUCGGAAUCUACUUUUUCGUGGGGGAUAACGUAGGGAAACUUACGCUAAUACCGCAUACGUCCUACGGGUGAAAGCAGGGGAUCUUCGGACCUUGCGCGAUUGAAUGAGCCGAUGUCGGAUUAGCUAGUUGGCGGGGUAAAGGCCCACCAAGGCGACGAUCCGUAGCUGGUCUGAGAGGAUGAUCAGCCACACUGGAACUGAGACACGGUCCAGACUCCUACGGGAGGCAGCAGUGGGGAAUAUUGGACAAUGGGCGAAAGCCUGAUCCAGCCAUACCGCGUGGGUGAAGAAGGCCUUCGGGUUGUAAAGCCCUUUUGUUGGGAAAGAAAAGCAGCAGGUUAAUACCCCGCUGUUCUGACGGUACCCAAAGAAUAAGCACCGGCUAACUUCGUG
rnacentral:rRNA from 1 species